rnacentral:lncRNA from 1 species
GGCAUGUAACAGCCAACAGCCAACAACCAAGUGGAGAAGACAAGCUAGCUUGCAUUUUUAGCUAGACACAUUACAAGUAUGAGGAUUCUGAGAGGAUGUGUGCUGGGGACUGAGGGAGAAAGUUGGUUUAAUGUAGGCUACAGAGCAAACGUUGGUUAACCCUAGGGGAACGUUGUUAACCACAGGAAACGCCCUGGUAACCACAGAAUGGGGAUAUUAAGGAACCAGGGAGAGAUAUGUGAGACCUGCUAGCUGCCUAGCUAUAAACUAGCUGUGGAAACUCCAGCCACACGGAAAACUAGUAUCGAACUGUGAGCAGAGAGACGUGUGGGCACUGAAGAAGAAAAGAAUGCUGAAGCCUCUGUCCUCCCUUCCUCUCCAGCUGGGAGGAGACCAGCCGGGAGGAGACCAGCCGGGUGGAAAGCAGACAAAGAGGAGAAGCCCAGCCAGCGAGGAGGAGCCUGGGGCAAACCAGAGGAGAAACAUAACAGGCGAAGGGGAGCAGGAUGAGGCAAUGGAGGAGCAGGAGAAGGAGGUGGAGGUAGCGGAGGAGGAGGACUCAAUUCUGUUUGACACACCUGGAGGCUCAGGUACAGGUAGCCUCCUCACCCCACCUGUCAUCAACCUGAUCCCUCCCACUCCCUCUGACGUCCUCGAUGAAGACCAGUUCUUUGAUGACAUCAUCUCGGACGAGGAGAGCGUGGCGCACACGUCUGGGACUGGUAGUGACGGGAGUAGCAACACCGCCGGACACCGGGAAGAAGAGGAAGAGGAGGAGAGGAUGGAGGAUUUGGACCAGGAGCCUGAAGAGGAGGGGAACAAGAGAGACGCGGAAACCCAGGAGAGGCAAGUGGUGGAUGGGAGUAAAGGGUAUCUGGGAGAAUCAGACCAGGAGGUGCUCCUUCAUGCUCCAGUCCCCGAGAGGGAGGGGGAGGUCAGGGUAAAGGCUGCUGAGGAAAAGGAGAGACCCAAGCCCAGCUUCCUCCGUAGUGCCUACCAGGUGGAUCCUCUACCUGAGUACCCCAGGAAGAGGAGCUUCAACUCGAGCGUCAAUCUGCCGUUGUUCACCGAGCACAACCUGGAUGACUGGAGGAACGCGGACGCCAGUUGCCAUGAGUUACUGAGAGCAGAACUGCGACUGCUUCCUCUCAGCGCCAAGAUGGAGGCCUUUAUCUACCAAAAGAAACCUGGAGUAGCUUGUUCCUGCAGUCUGGGCGUGUCCACCACCGUGACCGUUCCUAGAAGCCACACCUUUCACUCCUUAUCCAAUCAGAGCCCUGACCACGCCCAGGAGGAGGAGGAAGGGUCGCCACGGCAACGGCGCAUCACAGUUGCAUCAUUCAUGCCACAGUCUAAUGACCAGAAUGGAAACUUCCCAGAGAAGAAUUCGGACAGACAGAGGGGUAAACCUCUAGGAGAGUUGAACACAGAAGAAGUCUGCCGGUGGUUCAGCACUAUCGGCCUUCAGAAGAGACUCCAGUUCAUCAGAGAGGCAGAGCUAUGUGGGGCUGAUAUAGCCUCCAUAGACCUCAACACCCUCGAUGUCCUUCACAUCUCCAGCCUGCAGGAGAGAGAGCAGCUUUUGUCAGCCGUCUACAGAGAACUGCACCCACCAUCCACAACCUCACAGAGACUGGACUUACUACUGGAAACCUUGGGUCCUAAUAACGUAGAGAAAUUCACAGCAGCAUUAGUGAAUAUGAGCAAAUCGAAGUCCUCUCCGCAAAUAAGCUGCCUCAACAUUAAUCCAAUGAAUUCCUUCAAGUUCAACCCUAACCCUUUGGUCCAGAGGAACUCUCAGCUGAUGGAGACCACCAUAAACGCGUCGGAGCAGAUUGUGCACCUGCGUACCCCCAGAGAGACCACAGUGGGGAAGGUGAUGGAGUCGUGUUUUACGAUGCUGGGAAUGACUGAUAAUAAGGACCUCUUCAGCCUCACCGACAAACGAGGUUCUUCAGAGGAGCUGAUACCAGACCAACAUAUAACAUAUAACAAAAAGGAGGAGACAUCUAAAAGCGUAAGCGAGGCCCCACCCACUGGUGUUAACGGUUACCGUGACAACGGACAUGUCAGUCAGAACCACCAGAUGCAGCCUGUCAGCUCACGGCCGAUACAGGUGGUCAGCCAGCCAGGUAAAGAGGAAAAGAUCCGGGAGCUCAAACAACAGGUGGACUCUCUACAAAACGUCAUCCUACAGGUGCAGGAGAUCCACCACGGCCUGGUAGCAUUCUGUUCGGAGCUGAAGAGCAUGGAUGUAGAGGUGGACACGUCAGGGCUGAGCUUCCCUGAGCUGGAGCAGCGCCUGGGGCUGGCUAUGGGACUGCUCAGGGACAAGAGACACAGUCUACAGAGCCUCAGAGAGACCAUGAGAGAUACAGGCGCUCACAGGAACAAGCCGUCAGAGGUUUGUCUUCUGGAUACGAUGAAGUUGAACUGUCAGGUGUUUAAAGAAGAGAUCUCCCUGGUUUACCUCAACAGACAGGUGUCACAUCUACAGACAGCUCUACAAGACAGCCUAGUAAAGGCUUGUGGAGGUGAAUGGGGUACUGGUGAUGGGGUACAGUGAAGAGGAGCUGAGCCCCCUACUCCGCCAGGGACCAAGUGCUCGGAUAGUCAUCCUGAGUAGACCUCCUCCUCCUCCUCCUCCCAGCCCAAGAGACAGAAGACCCCUUCCUCUUUGAAGCAACAUCCUCCAUUAGUAUACACCUAGUACCACCAGGCAAUCCCAUCAAGCAUGACAUUGACACCCAAUAGACACCAGGCUGAUCCCAUCUACCAAGAGACUGACACCCUAUUGACCACCAGGCUGAUCCCAUCUACCAUGAGUUUUGACACCCCAUAGACACCAGCACAAUGAGCAUCAGGAACCUGAGGUCUCCACUGAGCCCCUCUCUACUCUACCAGCACAAUGAGCAUCAGGAACCUGAGGUCUCCACUGAGCCCCUCUCUACUCUACCAGC